GACGAACGCUGGCGGCGUGCUUAACACAUGCAAGUCGUACGGUAAGGCCCUUUCUGGGUUGCACGCUUGGCUGACGGGUGGGUAACACGUGCGUAACCUGCCCACCCCUUACUGAUAACGCUAUUAAACUAGUUCGAAUACAUGCUAUGUGCUCCUGCUGCAUGGUUGGGGUGGGUAGGCUCCUGCGGUUGGGGGUGGAUGCGCGGCCUUUCAGCCUGUUUGUGGGGGAGUGGCCUACCAAGGCGGCGGAGGGUAGCCGGCCUGGGGGGGUGGGCCGCCACAAUGGGGCUGGGGAACGGCCCAGGAUCCUAAGGGGGGCAGCAGUGGGGAAAUUUGGACAAUGGGGGCAAGCCUGAUGCAGGAACGCCGCGGGCGGGAUGAAGGGCUUCGGGUUGUAAACCGCUUUCAGCAGGGACGGAGGUGUGAGUGACGGUACCGGGAGAAGAAGCACCGGCUAACUACGUG
rnacentral:rRNA from 1 species